UACGGAGGGUGCGAGCGUUGUCCGGAAUCACUGGGCGUAAAGGGCGCGUAGGCGGCGCGGGUAGUCAACGGUGAAAGCUUGGGGCUCAACCCCGAGUCGGCCGUCGAUACUCCCGCGCUCGAGCACUGUAGAGGCAGGUGGAAUUCCGGGGUGUAGCGGUGGAAUGCGUAGAGAUCCGGAAGAACACCGGUGGCGAAGGCGGCCUGCUGGGCAGUAGCUGACGCUGAGGCGCGACAGCGGUGGGGAGCAAACAGG
rnacentral:rRNA from 1 species